GGGGUUGUAGCUCAGUGGUAGAGUGCUAACCUUGCAUGUUUGAGGCACUGGGUUCAAUCCUCAGCAACACAU
rfam:Ictidomys tridecemlineatus contig061431, whole genome shotgun sequence.